rnacentral:sRNA from 1 species
GCCGGGCGUGGUGGCGCACACCUGUAAUCCCAGCUACUCAGGAGGCUGAGGCAGGAGAAUCGCUUGAACCCGGGAGGCGGAGGUUGCAGUGAGCGGAGAUCGCACCACUUCACUCCAGCCUGGGUGACAGAGUGAGACUCCGUCUCAA